GAGAUUGGAGGUGGAAGCCUCUUGUGAGUUCUGUUCUAGUUCUAACUUUUAUGUUUUUUUUUUUUUUCUUUUCUUUAAGGAUGACUAACUUGUUUUGAGCAGAAUUGGGUAAAACUUAGUGCGGAAUUUGUGCUGGUUCCUAUACUCUUCUUGAUUUAAUUUGAAUUUUUGUAAUUUCUAUUCUUGGAAGCUAUUUUGUGUUUUUCCGCUGAUUUCUUAAUUGGGUGUUGAUUAUUUUUUAUUGUUUUAGUCUUAUUGGUUUUGUUGGUUUCAUAUGCUUUUUAGUAGACAAUUGGGUUUUCUUUUUGAGGUCUAUUAUUUGUAGUUUUAACUGAAAAUUCGGUGUUUUCAUGUUUAUUUAUUUAUUUGGUUUAAGCUUUGUUAUAU
rnacentral:misc_RNA from 1 species